rnacentral:rRNA from 1 species
GAUGAACGCUGGCGGCGUGCCUAAUACAUGCAAGUCGAGCGAACGGACGAGAAGCUUGCUUCUCUGAUGUUAGCGGCGGACGGGUGAGUAACACGUGGAUAACCUACCUAUAAGACUGGGAUAACUUCGGGAAACCGUAGCUAAUACCGGAUAAUAUUUUGAACCGCAUGGUUCAAAAGUGAAAGACGGUCUUGCUGUCACUUAUAGAUGGAUCCGCGCUGCAUUAGCUAGUUGGUAAGGUAACGGCUUACCAAGGCAACGAUGCAUAGCCGACCUGAGAGGGGGAGCGGCCACACUGGAACUGAGACACAGUCCAGACUCCUACGGGAGGCAGCAGUAGGGAAUCUUCCGCAAUGGGCGAAAGCCUGACGGAGCAACGCCGCGUGAGUGGUGAAGGUCUUCGGAUCGUAAAACUCUGUUAUUAGGGAAGAACAUAUGUGUAAGUAACUGUGCACAUCUUGACGGUACCUAAUCAGAAAGCCACGGCUAACUACGUG